UUCUGCAGCUGCUGCCCGUCACUCACACAGUCUUUUGGCAGAAGGUCGGUGGGUAAAAGGACGCCGGACUUGUCACCGUGAAGCAGUCAGCCAUGAAGCUUCAGCAUGCAGCUCUGGCCACCGUGUUCCUGCUCGCUUUGCUCUCAUCUGAGUGCUGGGGCAGGAACGAGGAGGAGCGUCUGAUCAACUACCUGAUAAAAGAAAAGGGAUACAACAAGGAGCUGCGUCCUGUUGAGAGGCAGCAGGACGUGGUGGAUGUUUACCUGGCACUCACACUCUCCAACCUCAUCUCUCUGAAAGUAGUAGACGAG